AAUAAGACAACUUUUCAGUUUAUAGAUAUAAUGUUUGACUCUUCAUCUUAUUUAAAAUUCUUUUACGAUUAAUAUUUUUAUUUUUAUUAGAUGAUAAAAUAUAAAUAGUAUUUUACGUAUGACUAGUUUUUUGAGUUUUUAAAUAAAAUUUUCAAAUGAGACGGAUGGUCAAACGCUGGAAAAAAAUCCAAAG
rnacentral:pre_miRNA from 1 species